CUUUAAAACAGUCUAAAUAACCCUGGCCAUGUAUUCCUAACAUAUCAUAAGUAAGAAUGUAUAUUAAGUAUUUAACUAAAUUUACUUCCUCUACUGAUCUAUUUAAUUAUACAUAUGAUUCAAAGGUGCAAAAUGCUUUAAAGCUACUGCUUCAUUGACGAACAAUUAUAUUCUACAGCAAAUAUGUGUAAAAUGUAUAUAUAUCAUCAGAAAGUAUUUUGACAUGUCUUACAUUCUAAUGAAUUCGUUUGCAACUAAAGUCUAUUUUCUCAUCGGGAUAAGGACAUUCAGUCAUUGCGAAACAAAAACCUGUAAAAAGUGAAUAGAAUAUGACAUAAAUAAUAUUUAUUUCUUUUCUAGUUGACAUUAGGUUAAAUUGCAUCAAAGACUUAGAUAGCCAACUUUACCGUAACUGUCAAGAAAAUCCAUUUUAGCUUAUGUAGGAAAUUGGUGAA